UACAGAGGUCUCAACCGUUGUUCGGAUUCAUUGGGCGUAAAGGGUGCGUAGGCGGUCGCGCAAGUCGGAUGUAAAAUCUCAGGGCUCAACCCUGAAACUGCAUUCGAUACUGCGUGGCUAGGGUACUGGAGAGGAGACUGGAAUUUACGGUGUAGCAGUGAAAUGCGUAGAUAUCGUAAGGAAGACCAGUGGCGAAGGCGAGUCUCUGGACAGUUACCGACGCUGAGGCACGAAGGCCAGGGGAGCAAACGGG
rnacentral:rRNA from 1 species